UUGACAACAAGUCUGUCUCUGCUCUCUGACUGAAUGACUGUGUGUGUGUCACCUGAGCAAUGCGUGCAUCCUCCUGCAGCUUGUUGAGUCUCGAUUCAUUCCUGCUGAUGAAGUCUUUCAGUGUGCUGUUGUGUUGGAUGCUGAACUCUCUCCAGGUCUAAACUCUGCAGUUUAAACCCAUACACAGCUCCUCUCUUGCUGCUGUUCAUGUAGUUCCCCAGAGCCAAGAUGAUCUGGAACAAACACAUUUACAGAUGAACAAAGAUAUCUCUCUUAUUUUACUCAUUUCUGUUACUUUUGUAGACACAGACCUAUUUUUCAAUGAUUUUUUCAAAAUUAUUUAAGUAUAUAUUAAAUUGUCUUUUUUAAUUUAAAGUUAACCUAAAAAAACUUUGGGUAAGCAGCAACAACAGAAACAGUUAAGACAGUUAACAGUUGUGACACUCAGUCAAAGUCAGAUAAUAUUGAUGUGUUUACACACACAGAAAACUACAAACAUGUACUGUAUGUACUGUAUCUAUGGAGUACAUGUAAUGUACAUAUUGUAUCUUUGCAGAUGAGAUACACAUUGUGUAAACAAACAUAAACUAACCUCAAGGAUCUUCUUGAGCUUCUGAGAUGAUUUUAUAGAAACUGAAGCAGCGAUCAUAGCGUGGAGUUGCUGAAAGAAAACACAACACAGUAAGACAGGUCUGUUGCUACAACUGUCUGUCAGCACAGCUGUCUGACUCUUUACAGGCCUGUCUGUCUCUCCUUGACUGUCUGUCUUACCGGAGUUAACAUCUGGACAUUGUCGGUGAAAUUGCCCAUGAAAGUCAUGAUUGACAUGCGCUGAUUGAGUCUUUCAAUGCGGCUGAACUGCAUCAUAAAGCGAUCUUCAUCGCUCAGAGCCUCCAGAGGUUUUCUGUCCCUCUCAUAUUGCCGUAGGAGUUUUGCCUCAGCCUCCGUUGGCAGGAAACGCAUCAGACACUCCACAAAAUCGACACGAACUGUUCGCAAGUCAAACCUUGAGGAAAGACAAAGCAGAGUGUUGGGGGGAGCAGGUAAUAAUUUAGACAUUAAACAGACCUUAACUCCUCUGGUAGCUCAUCAGUAGCCUGCCCACACCUGUCAGUCAGCCACCUGACUGAUCAAUCACCUGUGUACUGGAACGGGUUCUUACUCAUGGAAUUACGGUGGAGGUUAUUGAACUAGUGUUAUUGUUUCUGCUGCAACUGGAGGACUUCAACCUACAUUUGGAUGGCACGGCAGAUGACCUCUGACCCCUGACCAGCCUUCCUCAGAGUGAUGGCCAGGUUUUUGGCUCUGUUGGCCUCCAGCAGAGAAACUUUGGAUGGACCCUUCUGAGGAAGUUUCUGUCUGGAGAGCGUCAAGUCCACCGCUGGACCUUGAGCCUUUGUCUUAAACAGCUCCUCAAAGCCCUCCACAUCCAGAUCCUGAGAGAGAGACAGGUACAGAGAGGGACAUGUAGCUAAACAGCAGAAAAUGGAUUCAUCGUCAAUGUCGUUGAAGAUAGUCCCGUUGAUCUGACUCGGCUUCAGGGCAACCCAGUUCAGCACUGGCAUCCUGAACUUUGUUUGGAUUGGCUUCUUUAUCUUCACCGCUGCACAGCAGGAAGGAAGAGAGAAGAGCAUGGAGUCAGAUUGUCAGAUUUAUUUGAAGGUUUAAAGUCUGCAGCUGAGUUUCUAAGACCCAGGGCUGCAGUGGCUGGUGUUCUCCAGGUCUACUCCUUUUUGCUCCCCUCACCAGUCACUCUAAACCAACAUCGUCAUAAGCAAUGAACAGGACUUGUGGUGGAAGCUAAGCAGGACUGAACAAGAUACACUGACCUUUAUAUGGACUCUGCAGAUUACGACUGAUUUCUUAUUUCCUACCAGUUUUUCCACUUGUCUCUGCACACUCACAAAGGUGUAAAUCAUGAUUGAAGCUGAGGUCUUGUGUCUUUGUGCUAAAACGUCCUUCACUUUCAGUCUAAACACACAUUAAAGGCGUUGACCAGUGCAAUCAAACAUGA